rnacentral:rRNA from 1 species
CCUACGGGAGGCAGCAGUGAGGAAUAUUGGUCAAUGGGCUUACGCCUGAACCAGCCAAGUCGCGUGAGGGAAGACUGCCCUAUGGGUUGUAAACCUCUUUUGUCAGGGAGCAACGCCGGCUACGUGUAGCCGGACUGAGAGUACCUGAAGAAAAAGCAUCGGCUAACUCCGGGCCAGCAGUCGCGGUAAUACGGAGGAUGCGAGCGUUAUCCGGAUUUAUUGGGUUUAAAGGGUGCGUAGGCGGAAUGCCAAGUCAGCGGGAAAAUCGCGGGGCUCAACCUCGCUCCGCCGUUGAAACUGGCGUUCUUGAGUGGGCGAGAAGUAUGCGGAAUGCGUGGUGUAGCGGUGAAAUGCAUAGAUAUCACGCAGAACUCCGAUUGCGAAGGCAGCAUACCGGCGCCCAACUGACGCUGAAGCACGAAAGCGUGGGUAUCGAACAGGAUUAGAUACCCGAGUAGUC